rnacentral:rRNA from 1 species
UGGACCAGUCGAUAAUCGGUCUCGCCUGCCCACUGAUUAGUUAAAGGGCCGCGGUAUACUAACCGUGCGAAGGUAGCAUAGUAAAUAGUCUUUUAAUUGGAGGCUUGAAUGAACGGUCGGACAUGAAGGUAACUGUCUCGUAGUUUGGAUUUGAAAUUAACUUUUGUGUGAAAAGGCAUUAAUGUUUCAGGGGGACGAUAAGGACCCUAUAAAGACUUUAUGAUUGGUCACCAAGGUUCACAUGAUGUGACGGUUAACUUGAACUUUAUGAGGAUCAUUGCGCUGGGGCGGCGCGGAUAUAAAUUGUAACUGUUCUUGGGAGUGAAAUAAUUAUAUUUAGCCAUUUUGACCCUGGAUUCUGGUUUAAAAGUGUAAGUUACUUUAGGGAUAACAGCGUUAUUUCUUGAGAGUUCAUAUCGACAGGGACGUUUGCGACCUCGAUGUUGAAUUAAAGUCUCUCCCGGGGGCAGGAGUUCGUGGGUGUGGGUCUGUUCGACCUUUAAAGCUUUUU